rnacentral:rRNA from 1 species
CCUACGGGAGGCUGCAGUGGGGAAUAUUGCACAAUGGGCGCAAGCCUGAUGCAGCCAUGCCGCGUGUGUGAAGAAGGCCUUCGGGUUGUAAAGCACUUUCAGCGGGGAGGAAGACGGUGAGGUUAAUAACCUCAUCGAUUGACGUUACCCGCAGAAGAAGCACCGGCUAACUCCGUGCCAGCAGCCGCGGUAAUACGGAGGGUGCAAGCGUUAAUCGGAAUUACUGGGCGUAAAGCGCACGCAGGCGGUCUGUCAAGUCGGAUGUGAAAUCCCCGGGCUCAACCUGGGAACUGCAUUCGAAACUGGCAGGCUAGAGUCUUGUAGAGGGGGGUAGAAUUCCAGGUGUAGCGGUGAAAUGCGUAGAGAUCUGGAGGAAUACCGGUGGCGAAGGCGGCCCCCUGGACAAAGACUGACGCUCAGGUGCGAAAGCGUGGGGAGCAAACAGGAUUAGAUACCCUAGUAGUC